rnacentral:rRNA from 1 species
CAGUAGCCGCGGUAAUACAGAGGGUGCGAGCGUUAAUCGGAUUUACUGGGCGUAAAGCGUGCGUAGGCGGCUUUUUAAGUCGGAUGUGAAAUCCCUGAGCUUAACUUAGGAAUUGCAUUCGAUACUGGGAAGCUAGAGUAUGGGGGAGGAUGGUAGAAUUCCAGGUGUAGCGGUGAAAUGCGUAGAGAUCUGGAGGAAUACCGAUGGCGAAGGCAGCCAUCUGGCCUAAUACUGACGCUGAGGUACGAAAGCAUGGGGAGCAAACAGGAUUAGAUACCCCAGUAGUCCCUGUCUCUUAUAC